AGGAAUCGAGUUAAUAAGUUGGGAAACACUGACAUCAUGAUUCAUCGAUAAUAAUCUUUUAUCGAAGAAAUUCGACUUGACGAUAUUGGAUAAGUAUUAUCUCAACGGGUAUAAUAGUUUGACGUCACCGUCGAUUGCAACGAGUAAGUGACAGACUAUCGAAUAUCGAGCGUUAUCGAUACCCGAUCAUACCGACCGAUUCAGAAUUGGCGGAUCAUCUUAUAAGUUCGAACCUUUAUUUUUUUCCUCGAUCUAUGUUUUUCUUAUCUAGUGCAUGAUUUUAAUUGUUUGAUAUUGUGUACUCGUGAUAUUUGCGAUAUUUGUUGUUAUGGCAAAAACGUUUAUUUGGAUAAAAGAUAAGUGAUAAGAACUGAUAGAAAAAGCUCGUAAGUCACUGCUAUUAAGGCGAUUUUCGUUAAAACGACGGAAACGGAUAGCUAAAAAAUGGCGCGUUGAAACAUAUUUCUUGACGAAGUAUAAUUUAUUUCUCUUGUUAUUCUUUUUUUUUUUUUUGCUAACCUAUAAUACAAGGACAGUUUAAAACUAACCUUGGUUGACCAAUGACAUCUUUAUCAAAGCAGUUAAAUCGUUAACUAUACGUCGAUCCAAGCAACGAUUUAGCGGGUUCUUCGAACGUCGCCUUAAUAAAUUCGCUUGACCCUUUUACCCAACUUCCACUUGCACGUGGUCAAUUAUAGUUCGCUAUAAAUCCUAUUCUAAAUAUAUAUCAAUAUUUAAACGCUUUGGCUUUGAAAACGUUAAAGAAGUCACGCGUCGAUGUUGUUUGUUUCACUUGAAAUAUUAUAUAUGGCACAAAUUGAAAUAAAAUUCUAGUAGAGAACAGGGAUAAAAAGGAGUAAGUUGUAACGAACAUGAUAUGAUGCAACAGGCAUUUGUUGCAUAUAGAUAUGCUAGAAUAUAUGUAGAAUAGUAAAAUGUAGUAAUCAUCCAUCAAUCAAUAUUAUACAAAUUAAAAUUUUUUUAAAUUUCAAAACAGCAAUUUGAAUUUGUAAGUAAUAGAUGAAAACAUUAUCCUGAAAUUACUUUGUUCUGGAAUAUGGUUAACUUAAGAAUGUUGCAAGUGUGGAUUACGAGGUAAAUUAUACACGAAAACCGUGUCACGUACUUGAUUUAUGAGAAAAAAGUAUCCUCGACUCAAUGUGACAGACUACCUCGCGAUGCAUCUGCUGCAAUCCGUGCAUCACCUAAUAAAAGCACGAGAUGUUCGCGAUUUCAUUUCAGUGACUCACGUUCCAGAUGUCAAUGACAUAAAACGCAGCUUGCGCGCCUCCUGCUUUGUGUGUAUUUUCAACAAAAACUAAUCGAAUAGGUAUCGUAUCACAUCAUUUGCAACUUUGUAUCCAUUUCUUACCAAACUUUCUAUGCACAUUUUUCGAAUAAAAAAAGAUGCAAGGGAAGUUAACCUUAAUAUGAACUGUAUUCCCCACUCAAUUUUUGAACUAUUCCUAUCUAAACACUGUUAGUUACUUUUAUGGUUAGGCACAUUUAACUCUCCAAUGCGUUAUAAGUUAUAAUACAGUUUCUAAACGUUAACAGAACCACGUAUAGUAUCGAAGAGUUAAAUUAAACUUACGU